UUCUUCAGAAAUAUAUGCAGUAGUAGGGGGAAAAAAGAAUUCACUUCAAAACCAAAGAAUUCACUUCAUGGAAUCAUUUUUGUCUAUGUAUUAUGUCAUCUUCUUAUUGGAUAUUAGAAAUUAGUGGGUUGAUCAAGUCAAGUUCAGAUGAUGAAAUCACCCUACUAAAAUGGUGAAAAAAGGGACAAAAUCGAUUUACUUCUAGUUUCCAUGAUAUGAAAAGUUAGAGAAGGUGGGUUCUUAUUUUUUUUUUCUAGAUAAAUCUAAUGGUGUAUAUUAUUUAGGAGAAAAUUUUAUUAUGAAAACUUGAAAUACAAAACAUGACAAUAUUGUACUUAAUGCUUAUCAAGUGAAAUAUUUUGAGUAGAUGGUAGUGUCAAUCACCAUUGUUCAAUGACAAGUAAAGCCUAUAAAUAUUUGUUUUUUGGGCUUUAGUCUUCCAUUAUUUGGAUUGGGCUGUUGAAGGGUUUUUUUUGUCCUUAUGGUUAGAAAAAUGUUCAUUGAGUGCUUUUGAUUAAGAUCUUGUUUUGUGAGGGGAUUUUUCUUAAUUCGAAUUUCAACUUCUUCAAAUGCAGUUAUUCUAAUUCCGAACCGACCAACUCCCACCACCUGGCCUUGAACUCCAUGGGGUGUAACAUUAAAAACUUGUUUCUUUUGCUAUCAUCUAUCUCAAACACAUAAAUUUCUUUGCUCACUUCUGCUUGAAGCUUCUUUAAAUGCACCAAGUCGCCAGCAAAAAUAAUUUUGAGCCGAAGACACCACAACCCAUCUCGAAUUGAAGAUGCUUGACCUCCACGGAAAUGAAAUUUUGCAACUCUACAUUGUUAUUUGGAUUUGGAUAACAAAUCGCUCUAUCUGAGGGCACAAAUAAUGUAUCCACAAAAGAGUA
rnacentral:lncRNA from 1 species